GGGGAAUAUUGCACAAUGGGGGAAACCCUGAUGCAGCGACGCCGCGUGAAGGAAGAAGGUUUUCGGAUCGUAAACUUCUAUCAGCAGGGAAGAAUAGCUUUCGGAAGAAAGCAUGACGGUACCUGACUAAGAAGCCCCGGCUAACUACGUGCCAGCAGCCGCGGUAAUACGUAGGGGGCAAGCGUUAUCCGGAAUCACUGGGUGUAAAGGGUGCGUAGGCGGUUUAGCAAGUCAGAUGUGAAAGCCCAGGGCUCAACCCUGGGACUGCAUUAGAAACUGUUAGACUAGAGUACAGGAGAGGAAAGUGGAAUUCCUAGUGUAGCGGUGAAAUGCGUAGAUAUUAGGAGGAACACCAGUGGCGAAGGCGACUUUCUGGACUGUAACUGACGCUGAGGCACGAAAGCGUGGGUAGCGAAC
rnacentral:rRNA from 1 species